rnacentral:rRNA from 1 species
AGUGAACGCUGGCGGCGUGCCUAAUACAUGCAAGUCGAACGAAGUGGCGCACGGGUGAGUAAUAUAUAGUUAAUCUGCCCUACACAGAGGAACAACAGUUGGAAACGACUGCUAAUACCUCAUAGUGUAGGAUGAGACUAUAUCGUAUCAGCUAGUUGGUAAGGUAAUGGCUUACCAAGGCUAUGACGCGUAACUGGUAGGAGAGGAUGAUCAGUCACAUGGUAAGUGAGACACGGUCCAAACGCCGACGGGAGUGAGCAGUAAGGAAUCUUGCGCAAUGGGGGUGACCCUGACGCAUCAACGCCUCGUGGAGGACUACACUUUUCGGAGCGUAAACUCCUUUUAUCAGGAAAGCGGUACCUGAUGAAUAAGCACCGGCUAACUCCGUGCCAGCAGCCGCGGUAAUUC